rnacentral:lncRNA from 13 species
GUUAAGAAAAGUAAUGAAAAUAAUCCUUGAAAAUACAUUAUCAGCGAGAAUGAAGGUAGAGUAUUAAACACGCGUUGAAGUCUUUCCUCAGCUGGGGCCGUCUGCUUCUUCCAGGCGUGACGUGGCGUGAGCUCCUCCGUGGGGGAGCAUUUCUUCCACAGCAGCAUCGAUAUCAUCAGCAGUAGGACCAUCUUCAUCAAUACCCAGACCAAGUUUGACCAUCCUGUAGAUCCUGUUAGUAUGUGUCUGGGGAUCUUCCAGACUGGAGCCAGGAGGUGGGAGUGCAGUUUCGUAAAGCAAGAUGACCCGAUCCUUCGCAGACUCGCCGUUCUUGUCAGCCUCUGCGUUUGGCAUUAAGGCCUCCAUACUGCAAGGCCAAAAGGAGCAUGUCUUGAGACAAAAAGAAGAGCUCUUCUAAACUCCAACCAUCACCACCAAGCGCUCAUCGGUCAAGCUCUCACAGAGCUCUCCAUAUGCCGCCCGAGUCAUAGCAUCAGGAUUUCUGGUCCAGACAAACUUAGUUCUGUGGAGUUCUUGAUCAAUGUACUUUCCCUCACUUUGCUGCUUCUGGUCAGCAUCCUUCUUUUCUUCUUCUUCCUCAGAACCAGCAUCUUCAGUUUCAGGUUUGUCAUCGGAGUCUUUCUCUCCUUCUUUGUCUUCCUCUUCUGCAGCCUCAUCAUCGCUGACUUCUUUAUCACGUGUCUUCUCCGUCAGAAGAGUAAUGGGAUAGCCGAUAAACGGAGAAUGUUUCUUCACAAUCUCUUUUAUUCUUCUUGCCUCCCAAUUCUCAGUUAGGUCUUCUUUCAGGUGCAGGAUACCCUUUUCUCCACGCCCCAUAGGUUCACUGUGCCCGCCCUAACUGAAUGGUCCUCCUGCUGAGGACUCCCAAGCAGGCUGCUCACAUUUAUGUUUGGUGGGCACACUUUCUCGGCAAACAAAUAAGCAGAAUACAAACCACCACCAAACCGGCCAAUCACAGGGACACCUGCACCAGCCUGGGAAACUUCCACGGAUUCUUUGGUCCCAGACUUGAUGACAGUACCAAGGUUAUUGAUCAAGUCAGCCGUGG